UCCUCCUUUCUUUUUAAUAGUAUUUUUAUUGGAAUUUCACAGUUCUCUUCCACAUUAAGAGAUAUACAGUAACAAAGAUAAAAAAAAUAUAUAUAUAUGAGCAGACACGAAACCUUAGUUUAAAUAAAGGCAUUACGUCCAAUACAUGGAUUGUAAAAUGUAAUCCUGAGAUAAGUAAACAACCGCCAUUUUAAGAAAAACCUUGCUGCAUAAAAGCUGAAAUCAGUUUCUCACACUUUGUGGAACUGAUCUGUUUUAGAAUGUAAUGUAUAAGUCAACUAUUCCAAUGGAACCCUUUCAAAUAUUAUCUUAUGCCAAUCUUUAAUAGAAGGCACCUUGUCACUAACCCACUGUAAGAUAAUUCUUUUCCUCGCGGUUGCAGACAGUACAGUUGCCAUACCAGGCGGCGAUACAGCUUGACAAGGAUGCUCUCACUGGUGCAUCUGUAAAAGUUUGUGGGUAUUAGGAGCCAAGCCAAAAUUCUUCAGCCUCCUGAGGUUGAAGUGGCGCUGUAGCGCCUUCUUCACCACACUGUCUGUGUGGGUGGACCAUUUCAGAUUGUCAGUGAUGUGUACGCAGAGGAACUUGAAGAUUUUCAUCUUCUCCACUGCAGUCCCGUCGAUGUGGAUUGGGCCGUGCUCCCUCUGCUGUUUCCUGAAGUCCAUGAUCGGCCCGUCAGGAAGUCCAGGACACACUUGCACAGGACUGGGUUCAGAUCCUGGGCCACAAGCUUAAUGAUGAGCUAUAGUCAAUGAACAGCGUUCUUCCAUGGCUAUUCCUCUUGUCCAGAUGGGAUAGGGCAGUGUGCAGUGCGAUUGCGUCGUCUGUGGAUCGAUUGGGGCGGUAAUCAAAAUGACGUCGUCUAGGGUGUCAGGUAAGGCAGAGGUGAUAAGAUUCUUAACCAGCCUCUCAAAGCACUUCAUGAUGACAGAAGUGAGUGCUACGGGGCGAUAGUAAUUUAUAGUUGUGUAACGGACCGUAGUUGAACUGUGAUCCAUACAGAUCACCCCCCGCCGGUUCGGCACACAUGUGAACCGCGGUUCAAUUGCAAAAUUUAACCAUCAUAGUGUGAAAUACAGUUUUACUGCAGCGGUUACUUAGAGUAAUAAUUCCCUAAAUCUCAAUGCAGAGUUGCAGUGAAAAGAUAGACAAGACAGAUGCAUGCUGUGUUUUACUCUGAAGCCUGAAGGUUGAUUUGAUUAUUUUGUGUGUACUGUUCACAUUAAAGGGGCAUGUUGAAUCCCAACGAAUCAAUCCUGGAUGCUCGCGUCGCAAAGAAGAAAUGAGAGCAGUGACAGCCAUGGCUAGCGGAGGAGCUGAAGAACUGGAAAAGCCUCCCGCUUCAUCUAAGUCUCAUUUAUGGGAGAAUUUUGGCUUCCCUGUCAAAUAAGGGUGGUGGACAACACCAUUACGGUGUGUAGACAUUGUGCGACAAGAAAGCCGAAUGAUCAUGGAAAUACAUUGAGCAUGGCCACACAUUUUAAGCGGCAUCAACCUGGUAUGUCAGCGAUGCCAAGAGACAACUUCUCACCGCGGCAUUUAGGCAGCCCUUUCCUGCAGAAUCAGACCGGGCUGAAGCAAUCACCAAAUCUAUUGGGAUGUUUAUCGCUGUAGACAUGAGGCCACACUGUUGUGGAAAACAAAGGGUUUAAAAAUAUGGUGUAAGUGCUUGAGCCACGCUACGAAGUCCCCUCGCGCACCCACUUCAGUAUGAAGAUCGAGCCAGAUCUUGAUGAACAGGAAAAUAUCAAAAUUGUCGAAAAAUUAUCCAAGACGACCUCUAUUACCUUCACCACAGACGGGUGGACCUCCUGGGCAACGGAAAGCUACGUGACUGUGACUGCUCACUUCACCAUAGAGGAGUGGGAGAUGUGAAGUCCGGUGCUACAGACACGCCCCCUUUAUGAGAGUCACACAGGCACAAAUCCGGUGCAGGUACUGCUAGGAGCAGUAGCAGAGUGGAAGCAAGAGAGUAUCCCAAUCACCACAGAUAAUGCCAAGAACCAAGUAAAUGCAGUGAUAGAAGCUGGACUGGGGCCACAGAUAGUUUGCUUUGCACGUGAUCAAUUUAUCAUCCCAAAGGGGAAUCUCAGUGAACCAGAUGGAACGCCUCCUUGGGAGGAUCAGGAAGGUGGUUUCCUUUUUCCACCGAAGCACAACAGCCACUCAUGUGCUUAAGACCAAGCAAGAAACGCUACAGCUACCGACCCACAAGCUCAUAUACGAUGUCACAACAAGAUGGAACUCCACUUAUGACAUGUAGGAGCGCUAUCUUGAGCAGCAGGCAGCUGUAUACUCUGCACUGACACACAAGACCUUGAAAAAAAAUAUAAAGACAUCGUCACCUUGUCUGAUGAAGACGUGAAAGUGGCAGAGGAGGUCCUCUAGGUGUUCAAACCCCUCAAAACGUUUACAACCCUAUUGAGCACUGAAACUGCACCAUCUGUGUCCAUGAUCCUACCUCUGAAAACAAGGAUUCUACAAUCCAUGGCCCCAAGUCAGGAAGACCGCACCAUCAAUAGAGAGGUCAAGGCUGCCAUUAGAGAGGACCUGAACCCCACAUACCCCCUUAAUGUACAGGACUACCUUCAUCGUUCUACUGCACUGGAUCCAAGAUUCAAGUGUCUGUCUCACCUAGACCCUGCCCUACAGCGGAGGACAUAGUGAUCUCACCACUGAGAUUGUGAACACUGAAGAGGUCAAACCACAGCUGACAGGAGCAGACAGAGGCAUCUCCUCCACAAAAAUAAUUUGGCCAUGAAGGAGCUUUUUGGGGUGACCUUUGCGAGCAAGGACACAGGCAAGAUGUUUGCCAACACCAUCAAAGAGGAGGCAUCCUACAAGGCAGCAAGCAGCGUUCCAGUGGAUGGUGAUCUACUGGCAUGGUGGAAAAGCAUUGAGUGUAAAUACACUCACAUCGCCAUGAUGGCAAGAUGCUAGUUGGCUGUGCCUGCCACUUCAGUACCUAGCGAGAGGGUGUUCUCCACGGCAGGGUAAUAGUGACUGCAAAGAGGUCUACCCUCUCCCCAGACAAUGUAGACAUCCUCAUCUUUUUGAAAAAUAAUUUGAAGUUAUAUAUGCUCAGGUCUGUUUUGCUUUCUUUCUUUUUGUACUUUUUUUUAUGUGGACACAGGAUAUUUUUUCAUUCACUAUUGUUCAAAGGAAGAAGGUAUCAUGCCUCAUAUUGCACUUUAAUUUAACAAUUGAGCAUUGAAUAUUUUAUUUUAAGAUUGUAUUUAAACAUUGAAAAGUUCCUUGCUUUAAGUGUUCUUUAAGGAAUAAAUGGAAAGCAUUUCAUUA